UUUAAAUACUGACUGAUAUAGGCUGAUACAGCCUCAUACCAAUACGCGAUGUCAUAUUGUAUCAUUUUUUCGCCGGGCCGAUACAAUGACCGAUACCAUCAUUCAAAACCAUGGUGAUGUUGCUGUUGAUCUGGUACCUGUCACAUUUCGGCAUCAUCUGGCCUACCUUCACGGGUUCCUCCAUGGAAGUCAAUUCAAAACGAGCAGAGACGUUCAAGUUGGACCUGAGCUGCAUUUGGGAUGGUGGACAAGAUUUCCAUCACCACCUAUAAGGUACCGGCUUGGCAAGAGCUGGCUGCGGUUCUGGUGCACAGCCUGCCAUAGGUCAUGCGCCUAUGCCAACCUCAUGCGUUGAGCUUCAACAGCUUCAAAGUUGGCCCACCACCAUGUCUCUCCUCACAAUUGUAUGGACCCACCGGUUACCUCCCUUGCAUGGUUGAUUCAAGAGGAGCCACUGUUAUACCUAGGUUCCCACAGGGAGGUCUUGAUUUGAACUCAGGCCUUGUAUUGAUGGAUGGUGAGAGUAGGGACGUGGGGACCAUGAGACAGCUGUUCAGUAAUGGUCGUUAGCAGCGAGCCAGCAUGGGGAUGGCACUGAAACAGAAGGAAUCAGAAUGCAGGUAGGAGCUGAACCUGAUCAAUUACAAACACUAGACGUGGUGGCAUUAGUUUCUAGCCGGGACUGUUUUUUUUUUUUUUUCCAAGCAACUUGGGUUGUAGAAUGUUUGAAGAGGAUUCACAUGGACGGCCCAGAAGAUGGAGAUGGUGGUGGGCCCAUUGGAAUUGAGAGAAGGAACUUGGUUUUUUUUUUUU